CCAGACUCCUACGGGAGGCAGCAGUGGGGAAUAUUGGACAAUGGGGGCAACCCUGAUCCAGCGACGCCGCGUGAGUGAAGAAGUAUUUCGGUAUGUAAAGCUCUAUCGAUAACGGAAGAAGAUGACAAGCCGUUAAGGAAGAAGCCCCGGCUAACUACGUGCCAGCAGCCGCGGUAAUACGUAGGGGGCAAGCGUUAUCCGGAUUUACUGGGUGUAAAGGGAGCGUAGACGGCGAAUAAAGUCUGAAGUGAAAUCCCGCAGCUCAACUGCGGAGUUGCUUUGGAAACUUAUAAGCUGGAGUGUCGGAGGGGUAAGCGGAAUUCCCAGUGUAGCGGUGAAAUGCGUAGAUAUUGGGAGGAACACCGGAGGCGAAGGCGGCUUACUGGAAGAUAACUGACGUUGAGGCUCGAAGGCGUGGGUAGCAAACAGGAUUAGAUACCCUGGUAGUCCACGCAGUAAACGAUGAAUACUAGGUGUCGGGAGGGAAUAACCUUUUCGGUGCCGUCGCAAACGCAAUAAGUAUUCCACCUGGGGAGUACGUUCGCAAGAAUGAAACUCAAAGGAAUUGACGGGGGCCCGCACAAG
rnacentral:rRNA from 1 species